CUUUCUCAAAGAUUUACCCCGGCCAAGACUAAUCAGACGGUGAAAGAAAUUCUAAGUUUAGGCUGAUGGGAAAAUUCCUACUCAGGCCUGAAAAAUUAUUGAUUCUCCCUUUCGUCAGACAGGUGAUGUGGAAAUUGCCUGAGGAUACUAGUCUCCAUGAGAGAUUGGGGAUGGCCAUGAUCUUGUGGACCAAGCUACCAAAACCCUAGGAGCUGGAGUUCAUGUUGUGAUUUACCAGAUGCCACAUGGUCUAAGCACCAAGGAAAGAAACGGAGCUGUCUCUUUAUUCAUUGGUGUCAUCAGAGAACAUCCUUCUCUCCAGUAGUUGGGUGGGGAAAAAACUGACCUCACUAUCAUUCUGGGUCUUCUUCUCUUGUACAAAGAAUUGAGUACAUGGAGAUGUGGACCAUCUCUACACAGGAAAAGGCCUCCAUGGGUGAAGAUCAGCACCUCUUCUGAAACUUAGAGAAUUCUCUGGGUCUUUGAGAAGAUAAGUGACUCAUCCAGGGUCCUACAGCUGGUAUAUAUCAGACGCAGAACUUUAAUCUAGGUCUUCUGACUUCAAGGAUAACUCUCUAUCCACU